rnacentral:rRNA from 1 species
AGGGGGCAAGCGUUAUCCGGAUUUACUGGGUGUAAAGGGAGCGUAGGCGGGCUUGCAAGUUGAAUGUCUAAUCCACCGGCUCAACCGGUGUCCGCGUUCAAAACUGCAGGUCUUGAGUGAAGUAGAGGCAGGCGGAAUUCCUAGUGUAGCGGUGAAAUGCGUAGAUAUUAGGAGGAACACCAGUGGCGAAGGCGGCCUGCUGGGCUUUAACUGACGCUGAGGCUCGAAAGCGUGGGGAGCAA